AGAGUUUGAUCCUGGCUCAGAUUGAACGCUGGCGACGUGCUUAACACAUGCAAGUCGAACGAGAACGGUUUCCUUCGGGGAACUUAUUAAAGUGGCGCACGGGUGAGUAACGCGUAGAUAAUCUACCUUUAAGACUGGGAUAACGGACCGAAAGGUCCCCUAAUACCAGAUACGCUCUUUUUAACAUAAGUUAGAAAGAUGAAAGAUGGCCUCUCCUUGGAAGCUAUUACUUAUUGAUGAGUUUGCGUACCAUUAGCUAGUUGGUGGGGUAAGAGCCUACCAAGGCAACGAUGGUUAGCGGGUCUGAGAGGAUGAUCCGCCACACUGGAACUGAAACACGGACCAGACUCCUACGGGAGGCAGCAGUGAGGAAUUUUGCGCAAUGGGGGAAACCCUGACGCAGCGACGUCGCGUGGACGAUGAAGGCCUUAGGGUUGUAAAGUCCUGUCAGAAGGGAAGAAAUGUAUAUAGGUUAAUAUCCUAUAUGCUUGACGGUACCUUCAAAGAAGCACCGCUAACU
rnacentral:rRNA from 1 species